GUUAUAGUUAUCAACUAAUUAGGUAGACGCAGUUGAUUCAAAAUCAACCGUAGAAAUACGUGCCGGUUCGAGUCCGGCCUUCGGCACCA
rnacentral:tRNA from 1 species